CGACCGACCUAUCCUCGAGGUAGGACCC
rnacentral:sRNA from 1 species